rnacentral:sRNA from 1 species
CCCAAGGCCAUAGGGCAGGCCAAUAUGGACAUGCAUAAAGUGAAAAUGCAUUAGUAAUAUUAGAACUUACAACUUAGAAAUAUUUCUUCUUUACUUCCACAGUAGGGGAAGAUAAAUAAACUAAUUGCAUUGCUAUUAUGUCCAUGAAUUAGGAAUUUCACUGCCCAUGCGACAGAGGUUCAGACUUUUUCUUUUACAUUUGGGGGGGGGGGGGGGGGGGGGGGGGUAAAGCCAUAAUAGUGAAACUACAUAUUGUGUGUGGUUAUUGCGUCAAUACGAAACGAUUAUGUACCUACUAGAGUUAAUAAACUAUUUUUUGUCAGUCUGUGAUGUAUGUACUUAUCAUGUUCCUAUGUUAUGUUAUUAAUAUGUAAACCUUUGAGACGAUUGUCUUACGAAAAUAAAGAACUUGAACAUAU